rnacentral:rRNA from 1 species
UACGUAGGGUGCGAGCGUUAAUCGGAAUUACUGGGCGUACAGCGUGCGCAGGCGGCUUGCCAAGUCAGAUGUGAAAGCCCCGGGCUCAACCCGGGAACUGCGUUUGAAACUGGCAGGCUAGAGUUUGGCAGAGGGGGGUGGAAUUCCACGUGGUAGCAGUGAAAUGCGUAGAGAUGUGGAGGAACACCGAUGGCGAAGGCAGCCCCCUGGGCCAAAACCUGACGCUCAGGCACGAAAGCGUGGGGAGCAAACAGG